UACGAAGGGGGCUAGCGUUGCUCGGAAUCACUGGGUUUAAAGGGUGUGUAGGCGGGCUGUUAAGUCAGUGGUGAAAUCUCCGGGCUCAACCCGGAAACUGCCAUUGAUACUAUCAGUCUUGAAUACCGUUGAGGUGGGCGGAAUAUGUCAUGUAGCGGUGAAAUGCAUAGAUAUGACAUAGAACACCGAUUGCGAAGGCAGCUCACUAAACGGUCAUUGACGCUGAGGCACGAAAGCGUGGGGAUCAAACAGG
rnacentral:rRNA from 1 species